AUCUCGUCUCAAUCGAACGGCUUGGUUUUGCUUUUUUUUCCCGUCCCAAACGUCACCCCAAAUCACUCCCCCAAAAUACCGCCCCCAACCGUCGUCCGCCGCCCUCGCGACCUUCCCAUCGUCAUCCCUCUGCUCUCCAUUCUGCCCCAGCGUCCAUGCUCUCCACCCCUCUCCUCAUCGCCGUGCCACAUCCUACACUCGAGCUGAUGCUUCCGCCUCCACCUGCUUGGAAUUGGACGCCUGAACGCACCCAUGAAGCUCCGCCGUCGGGGCAUCACCGGCCGGCGACCGGCGCAGAUGCGGCACAACCAGGCCGGAAAGGAUCCAAUCAGCCAAAGCUGUGGGUUCUAGUCUGCUUCUACCACACACGUUUGCGGUCUUGAUUUCUUCAAUGACUUCACGAUUUAGGGACAAGGUCAAAUUGGUACAUAUAUCAGAGGAAGAUGUAUCCACAUGCUGGAAGCAAGCGUAUCCAAUUUUAAUUUGAAAUUUACAUGUUUCCACCACAGAUGAGUUAUGCUGAGGUAGCACUACUUAUGUGCUUCAAAACGUCUAUGCCUCCAAUACAUAAUGGUUAUAUUGUGAAAGAACUAAUUCCUUGCGUAGAAAUAUUCAUGCUUCCAAUUUCAAUUGCUUCACAUACAUAUGAUAUAUAUUGAUGUAGCACUAAUCUCUUGAUUCGAAAUAUCUCUGUGUAUACUAUAUGUUUUUCUUCGGUCUAGAUGGUUUGUGGCAUAUAACCAUGCUUCUUGCUUCUUGAUUUUUUUUAGUUUCCGUGCCAUUGUAGUUUAAAUAUUGUGCUCGUGCUACUAGUUAUGUUUGAGGCUUUGAAGCUUCUAUGUGGUACUAGUUAUGUUGAGAUAGCAUAAAAUUGAUUCUUCCAAAGUAUGUACGCUUUUUUGAGUUUGCAUAAUAGAACCAUGCUCUACCUUUUGCAUUUGUUGUUAUAUAAUUGAUGCUUCCAAAGCAUGUAUGUUUUUCAAGUUUUUCAUAAUAGAACCAUGCUCUACCUUUUGCAUUUGUUUUCAAAUGGAAAUAGCUUUGUGGAAGCAAGUUUUGAUACUACUGGAAGCAAAUUAUAUCAUCGAUGAGAAGCUUUUAUUUUGAACAUGCUUCCCAACCAUUAUAGAUUGCUGAUCAAGCUAUACGCCCUCUGUACUAUGGUUGUACAUAAAAUUUUUUGUGCCAUUUCUUUUGGGGCAAGCGUGCCUUUUUGUGUUUCAAAACUUCUAUGCUUCCAAUAAGUAUCAUAUACGGUGACACUAACAAAGUCUUUUUUUUUCUGAAAAAUCAUGGUUCAAAUUAGUAUCAUACAUGUUGUGAUACUACAUGGUUUUGCUUCUGAAAAUCCAUGCUUCCUAAGUUUCUUUUGUGAGAGGAACAUAGUUUUGAUUCCGAGAAUCCAUGCUUCACACGUCUAUUAUAUGCAGGAGAUAAUUGUAGGUCGUCAACGAGCCCCCACUAUUCUUCGUUAACACCAUCAUCGUUGUUCUCGGAGGUUGCUAUGAUCUCGUCAACGCUCCUUCUCGAAAUUGGUGAUCUGCACACCAGUGCCAUGUUUAAACAUGUGUUGUCCUAGCGGGCGUGCUUCUAUUGUCUUAGGGGCAUGUAGCGCUACUUACUGUUGCCCCAUUUUUUUUUUUUUUUUUUUUUUUUUUGCGAGAAUGCCCCAUUAUUGUACAUGGAAGCAAAUUCUGAUACCUCUACAUGCUUCCAUUCCUUGUGAUAUUGUUUAUAUGCUGCAGCUUUGCUAACAUUCAGAUCGACAUGCUGGUCCUCAUCGUCGUUAAUGGAAAGGUUGGUGAGGCACGUCAAGGAGCACGUUUUCCUUUGCACUGAUCCAUCUUGGCAGCGGCGGCAUCAAGGCGACCGGCUGCUUCCACAAAUUUCAUAGUUUCAAUCCCUUCACCAUUUUGCUGAGGUAGGAAGAAAGGCCACCAACUGAAAUUCUGAAUGAACCACGACCACCAAGGAAGCAUGGUCUUCCUCUGAAGAAGCAUGCUAUACCUUUGAAGAAGCACCGUCUGCCUGAAGAAGCACAACUACAAUAUCAAGGAAGCACACAGCUAGCGUUGGAAAGUAGCAUGACCACAGUAUCAUAGGGUUGCAAGUAAAGACAUCGGCUCAUCGGCGGCAUUGUCAUAAGUUGUACGAGAUUAGGAAGAAACUAUCAAUUUGUUUGGAGCACAAGCAUGGAAUCGAUAAUUUUUGUCCACGGGAGCAUGAUUCCUUGUCAAUGGAAGCAAGAAAAAUUGUACAUGAAAGCUCAGUUGUAUUUCUUGGAAGCACAUUCCUACUUCUUUUGAAUUAUGUAUAAUCAUGAUAGUAGUUAUU